ensembl:lncRNA
UGGUGCAGUAGUUGUUGUUGGUGCAGAAUUUUUGUUUGUUGGUGCAGCAGUUGUCGUUGUUGGCGCAGCAGUUGUUGUCGUUGGUGCAUCAGUUGUCGUUGUUGCUGAAGCAGUUGUUGUUGCAGCAAUUGUCGUUGGUUUAGCAGUGGUUGGUGUUGGUGCGGCAGCUGUCGUUUUGGUGCAGCAGUUGUCCUUGUUGGGGCAGCAAUUGUCGUUGUUGCAGAAGUUGCCGUUGUUGGUGCAUUAAUUGUCGUUGUUGGUACAGCAGUUGUUGUUGUUGGUGCAGUAGUUGUUGUUGGUGCAGCAGUUGUGGUUAAUGCACUAGUUGUUGUUGGUGCAGUAGUUGUUGUUGGUGCAGAAUUUGUUGUUGUUAGUGCAGUGGUUGUUGUUGUUGGUGCAGCAGUUGUCGUUGUUGGUGCAGCAGUUGUCGUUGUUGGCGCAGCAGUUGUUGUCGUUGGUGCAUCAGUUGUCGUUGUUAGUGAAGCAGUUGUUGUUGCAGCAAUUGUCGUUGGUUUAGCAGUGGUUGGUGUUGGUGCGGCAGCUGUCGUUAUUGGUGCAGCAGUUGUCCUUGUUGGGGCAGCAAUUGUCGUUGUUGCAGAAGUUGCCGUUGUUGGUGCAUUAAUUGUCGUUGUUGGUACAGCAGUUGUUGUUGUUGCAGUAGUUGUUGUUGGUGCAGAAGUUGUUGUUGUUGGUGCAGCAGUUGUUGUUGUUGGUGCAGCAGUUGUUGUUGUUGGUGCUACAGUUGUCGUUGGUGCAGCAGUUGUCGUUGAGUGAGCUAGUUGUUGGUGCAGCAGUUGUCGUUGGUGUUGAGCUGGUUGCUGGUGCAGCAGUUGUCGUUGGUGUUGCAGUUGGUUGCAGUUGUUGGAUGCAGCAAUCAGCAG